rnacentral:lncRNA from 1 species
AAGAAAUCAAAACUUUUUCACCACUACUAGGCUAUUUAUUCUGCAAAGAAGACUACAAAUGUAGAGAAUGUAGAAACAUUUUUAAUUAUAUAUCACACAUUACUAGACAUUCAAGAAAACACACUGGAGAGAAGCUCUACAAAUAAGACCUUUGUACCAUUUCUUUAAGGAUGGGUCAACAUUUAAUACUCUCCACAAUCAUCACAGCAGAGAGAAAUUUUUGAAAUGUGAAAAUUGACAAUGUGACAAUGCCUCCAUAAUUGAUUCACCAAUACUCAGCACCUGAGGAUACAUACUGGUUAGAGAGAAUACAAAUGGGAAAAACAAAUGUUUCAAAGCCGCAUGUUUCUUAAACACUACUGAUUUGUAGGGAAUUUGUUGUGCCCAGAAAACCUAAAUAGUUAAAUAAUAUUUCUAAAACUUAUUCAAAUUUUCAAUUCAUUGAACAUUUUAAAUCUCAUACCAGAGUGAACAUUGAACAUAUUUUGUCCAAAAUGAAUGCCUUAUAUAACAACAAAACAUUUAC